UACGGAGGGUGCGAGCGUUGUCCGGAAUCACUGGGCGUAAAGGGCGCGUAGGCGGUCUGUUAAGCGUGUGGUGAAAGCUCGGGGCUCAACCCCGAGUCUGCCAUGCGAACUGGUGGACUUGAGCACUGUAGAGGCAGGUGGAAUUCCGGGUGUAGCGGUGGAAUGCGUAGAGAUCCGGAGGAACACCAAAGGCGAAGGCAGUGUCCUGGGGAGUACCUGACGCUCAGGUGCGAAAGCCAGGGGAGCGAACGGG
rnacentral:rRNA from 1 species